CUGAGCCACUUCAAUCUUGGCAGCCUGAUCCACCUGUUAGUUAUUUUGAUGUUCUUCAGUGGCCCGACUCUUGGGUACAUGAGCAUCUACGUGACGUACUUUUCCAAGCAGAUUCUCUAGCUGGGACGCAACAUCUUGCCACAUAGCCACAGCCCAGGAUGGUGU